rnacentral:lncRNA from 1 species
UCAUCCGAAACCCCAUUGAACCUAAAAGUGUCAUACAUUUCCAGAAAGCUGACUAGAUGCUCGUUCGGAUCAUCAUUUGCAAAUCCCCCAAACUGAACUGAAUUCUGAAUCAUUUGUAUCAUCCCAGGCUUAAUUUCAAACGUAUUUGCUGCUAUUGUUAGCCUGGUGAUGCUUGAUUACAGUUCAGUCACCUUGGGUGUUGCAAAGUCCUUUAACGCUUUCCGAUCUUCGGCUGCCAUUACUGUUAUCUCUUCCUUUUCAGAUGUUUCGAAUUCUUGCCUCAUUUCCUUGAUCCACUUACUCAACCUCUGAAACCUUUUCUCAAUGUCGUCCUCAAAAGGCAGCAAGUCUGGAUUUUG